AUUGAACGCUGGCGGCAGGCCUAACACAUGCAAGUCGAGCGGAUGAAGGGAGCUUGCUCCUGGAUUCAGCGGCGGACGGGUGAGUAAUGCCUAGGAAUCUGCCUGGUAGUGGGGGAUAACGUCCGGAAACGGGCGCUAAUACCGCAUACGUCCUGAGGGAGAAAGUGGGGGAUCUUCGGACCUCACGCUAUCAGAUGAGCCUAGGUCGGAUUAGCUAGUUGGUGGGGUAAAGGCCUACCAAGGCGACGAUCCGUAACUGGUCUGAGAGGAUGAUCAGUCAAAAUGGGAAGGGAGACACGGACCAGCCUACUCGGGGAGGAAGCAGGGGGAAAUGUGGAACAAGGGGAGAAGGCUGGAUCAAGCCAGGCGGGGGGUGGAAGGAAGGCAUGCGAAUUUAAAAGCCUUUAAGGUGGGGAGGAAGGGAAGAAAGUAAAUACUUUGGUUUUUGGACGUAACAAAAAAAAAAACAACGGAAAAACUUCGUG
rnacentral:rRNA from 1 species